CAAAGGAGAGUGGACGGCGGCGUUCGCGGCGGUGUGGUUACGUUGCGACGGGUGCGUACACUGAAGGAAAGAGAGAGAGAGAGAGAGAGAGAGAGAGAGCACUAGGCGAGAGGGUGUGUCGGUGUGCUAGCAGCAGUAGAGCUAACCACCCUCCUCUCCCGCUGCUGCCGUCAAAACUAGGCACUAGAACGAGCUGCGCCUACCGUCGUAUAGCUAGGCCGCGUCCUCCGAGCCCCAGUCCCCGCCUCGAGACAUCCCCGAUUUGGCCCUGUACCGGGCGGGUCCUUAAAUUGUUUUUAAAAAAAUGGAUGUACAGUAGAAUCGGGUCGGGUGCUUGUCUGUGUAGUAGGGGUAGGAGAGCAGAGUCCGUGCGUGUCCGUGUGCGACUCUGCGUAGGAGACUAAGGGGUAGGAGAGUCGAUCCAAGAGGCCUACAUCGGCGGCACGUGUCCCUCGUGGUGGCAGGUGGCCUCGAACAGCGGGCGACAGAGCGCCUCGUUGGCGGCCUCUGCGGGCGCGCCGGCGCGGGGCGCCCUAGAGCGGAUCGGGAGCGGUGGAGCGGGGACGGUCCGAGGGAGUGCGGCAGCGGGCCAGCGCGGCGGGUGAGCGGGUCCGCGGGUGCUGGGUGAUAGAGUACCAAGCGCUUCGAUGGCGGAGCGGGGACCGGCGCCGCUGCGGGCGGCCUUAGAACGCCGACAAGAGGAGGUUGAGGUUAGGGGCCGACAAGACGAGGUUGGGGGACGGCGUAGUGACGUAGUCACGUAGGGUGAAGUGUCAAGUGUGUGGCGUGGUUGGUCGUCCCGUUGUCCCCUUCUCCGUCGUCCGCCCGUCUCCAUCAGUACCCGUUCCUUUUAGCCUGAGUCUUUUCUUAACUAAACCACAAAUUUUCCUUUUCUCUACUAUGUUAACUUCAACUCCUUCUGGUUCAUAACGGGAACGAACUUAACCUUGUCGUUGUUGGACUUGUUGUUGUAUUGGUUCUACCUCCUCAAGCUUGUUUACUUCAACAAUGUAAAGCCCCAUAACUCAAGAACGUCGCCCUAGGACCUAACGCGGGGGUUUAAACUUUAUUGUCUUAAAGAACCGGUUCGAAAUGUUUUCUUUAGUGUUCUAUAACACUUACAACAGGCGGAUCAAAGGAGUUGUUUUGUUACAGAAGUCCUCAACUCUAGUCUACUACCGAUGAUUCAUAAAUAAUGAUGCCAACAACUUAAAACACAUUUGGUAAGGUAACUGUAAGGUCUGAAACUCCUUUGUAUGUAGUACGCACCACCAGCACGAGCAGCAGUUGGACUAGUCAAGUGGUUCCUCGUAAUGAAAGCUCACCUUUAAAAGAAGAGUUGUGACCUGUGAGUUGAUAAACUUAAUUCGGCUUCUAAGUUACUAUUCCAUUACCUAGAAGAUUGGUAAUCGCGGUGGAACUAAGGAUGUUUGUUUAAGUCUCCUAAGUUUCGAUCACUAUAUACACUCUACCACUUUUUCAUGAUGGGUCGACUAAAAGGGGUUCUAUAAAUACCUAAUGUUGUCGUUGAAUUCGUGAAACAAAGUCUACGAAGGUUCCUACUACUAAACUUUUUGUAUAGAUGGAAUUAACUAGAUACAGCUACGGAACACCUCUGUCCUUCUGUAUGGCAGAUGUUAAACUAACUGUCUAAUGAAGCCAACGAGCAAUGGGAAGGUCAAAGAUGUCGGUCACGACUUGCGCGUAAAAGAUCAUACUUCUAGUAAUUCUGUUCUAACGCGUUAUUCUACCUUCUACUCUUAGACCGAUUAUUGAACAAUCAUGUGUAUCUCCCACCUUAAGACCUCUUGAUGUCAGUACUUCUACGGUAACGUCUAAAAUAUUCGUGCUUCCUAGCCUCUCAACUAAAGAUCAUACACUCAUUCAGGUACAGAUUACAGAGCUGUGAAAACAUAAUCGAUUUAGUUAUCACUGAGUACCAACUUGACAUGAAACUAUGUAUAUAUAAUAUAUAUAUGUAUAAACGAUCGAGUUAGAAC
rnacentral:rRNA from 1 species